UUAAAUUAUAAUUUUAAAAUAAAAAAUUAAUUAAAAUUAUAUUUAAAUUUUAAAAAAUAAUUUAAAAUUAAAAAUACAUUCGAUAAAUAACUAAAUAAAAAUUUACAAUUGAUUUUAACUUUUAAAAAAAAUUAAAACCCCUAAAACUAUUCUGCUUCUCCUGCUUCUCUAUCCCUCUCCUUCACUGUCUUCUAUCCUCCCCACGACUCUCCGGCGCUAUUCCGUUGACGUCAUCACUUGGCCGAUUCAACUCCUCGUCAUUCGCCCGCAAUGUCGAUCUUUGAGGAGUUCAGAUUUAGAAUCCAUGCGGGAACGAGGCCGGUCUCAGUCCGUCCAUAAGUUUUGAGAUGGAAUGCUCCACGACGCUGACGGUUUGGGUAGCCAAUGAAAGUGACGAAAGCAACGCAGAUUUGGGUUUGAUGAUUGAGAAAUCGCGAAGGACAUGAACGGAUCUGAUUUUUUGCAAGCUCUUCAUCUUCUCAAAAGCUCCGUAGCUCAGUUCGUCCGAAGCUCUCCGGUAUGGUCUGAGUGCGUCCGAAGCUCUCCGUUCGUGGACGACCAAAGGUGCGAUUUGUACUCAACUUCUAGAAGCUUGACGACACUCUUAUCCAGCCUAUUGUGUUAGUGAAAUGAAGCUCGACUGCUUGGGUGACUUCUAUGACUGCUUGGGGAAAGGGAGAAAGCUUAAUAGACCUAGUUUUAGGUUCUUGGUUUUUGGUAGAUCUAAGAUUUGGAUGGAUUUUGUUUUCUAAUAUUCAUGAUUUUGUUCAAAGUUUGUUGAUAUAUGGGUUUUGUUCAACUAAGAUUUUUGGAACUUUGAUUUUUUUUUUCCCUUCUAAGUUGUUCAUAUUGAAUAAAUGAGCUUAAAUUUCGA